rnacentral:rRNA from 1 species
UACGUAGGGUGCAAGCGUUGUCCGGAAUUAUUGGGCGUAAAGAGCUCGUAGGCGGUCUGUCACGUCGGCUGUGAAAUCCCGAGGCUCAACCUCGGGUCUGCAGUCGAUACGGGCAAACUAGAGUAUUGCAGGGGAGACUGGAAUUCCUGGUGUAGCGGUGAAAUGCGCAGAUAUCAGGAGGAACACCGGUGGCGAAGGCGGGUCUCUGGGCAAUAACUGACACUGAGGAGCGAAAGCGUGGGGAGCGAACAGG